AGAGCUCAGUGGAUUGUGUAGAGUACUGUACUGUUAUAGAUGGAAGAAGAGUGAAAACUACAGAAAUAGAUGUUGUAAAAGAAGAGGCAGCAGCAGAAAGCAGAGCCCCAUGCUGUAUUACCUAAGGAAGAGGCCUAGAACCAAUAACUGCAUCAUCUGACCUUGCAACACAGGUAGCAGAAACAACAGAAGCUGCUGAUGAUACUGUGGACAUUGGGGAAGUCCAAAUCAGACCAGAACAGACAGGGUCAACAACAAGUGGUAAAAAAGAUGAUGGUAAAGAAAUAGAUGAUUUGCCUGAUGAUACUGAUACAGUC